GGACAUAGCUCUUUGGUAGAGCAUCUGCUUUGCAUGCAGAAGAUCCGAGGUUCAAUCUCUGGCAUAUCCA